GACGAACGCUGGCGGCGUGCUUAACACAUGCAAGUCGAACGGAAAGGCCCUGCUUUUGUGGGGUGCUCGAGUGGCGAACGGGUGAGUAACACGUGAGUAACCUGCCCUUGACUUUGGGAUAACUUCAGGAAACUGGGGCUAAUACCGGAUAGGAGCUCCCGCUGCAUGGUGGGGGUUGGAAAGUUUCGGCGGUUGGGGAUGGACUCGCGGCUUAUCAGCUUGUUGGUGGGGUAGUGGCUUACCAAGGCUUUGACGGGUAGCCGGCCUGAGAGGGUGACCGGCCACAUUGGGACUGAGAUGCGGCCCAGACUCCUACGGGAGGCAGCAGUGGGGAAUAUUGCACAAUGGGCGGAAGCCUGAUGCAGCAACGCCGCGUGCGGGAUGACGGCCUUCGGGGUGUAAACCGCUUCCGCCUGUGACGAAGCGUGAGUGACGGUAAUGGGUAAAGAAGCACCGGCUAACUACGUG
rnacentral:rRNA from 1 species